AGAGUUUGAUCAUGGCUCAGAUUGAACGCUGGCGGAACGCUUACACAUGCAAGUCGAGGGGAAACGACAUCGAAAGCUUGUCUUUUGAUGGGCGUCGACCGGCGCACGGGUGAGUAACGCGUAUCCAACCUGCCCACCACUUGGGGAUAACCUUGCGAAAGUAAGACUAAUACCCAAUGAUAUCUCUAGAAGACAUCUGAAAGAGAUUAAAGAUUUAUCGGUGAUGGAUGGGGAUGCGUCUGAUUAGCUUGUUGGCGGGGUAACGGCCCACCAAGGCGACGAUCAGUAGGGGUCCUGAGAGGAAGGUCCCCCACAUUGGAACUGAGACACGGUCCAAACUCCUACGGGAGGCAGCA
rnacentral:rRNA from 1 species